UUAAUACUCACUCCGUCCGGAAAUAUUUUUCAUAGAAAUGGAUGUAUCUAGAUGUAUUUUAGUUUUAGACAUCCAUUUUAAUACAUUUAUGCGACGAGUGAUUCCGGACGGAGGGAGUAGUAU
rnacentral:pre_miRNA from 2 species